rnacentral:tRNA from 1 species
GCCCUGAUAGCUUAAUUAAAGCACCGACCUUGUAAGCCGAAGAUUGCAGCUUAACCCACUGCUCAGGACU